rnacentral:rRNA from 1 species
UGAAUACGAGACGCUAAGGCGUCGAAGUAGUGUAUGUCAUACUUCCAAGAAAAGCUUGCACUGUCAUAGAUAAAAAACGCCUGUACCAUAACCGACACAGGUGGGUAGGUAGAGUAUACUAAGGGGCGCGAGAUAACUCUCUCUAAGGAACUGGGCAAAAUAACUCCGUAACUUCGGGAGAAGGAGUGCCUUAUUCGUAAGGUUGCAAUAACAAGAUCCAAGCAACUGUUUAUCAAAAACACAGGUCUCCGCUAAGUCGUAAGACGAUGUAUGGGGGCUGACGCCUGCCCAGUGCCAGAAGGUUAAAGAAGUUGGUUAGCAAUUGCGAAGCUGAUAACUGAAGCCCUGGUGAACGGCGGCCGUAACUAUAACGGUCCUAAGGUAGCGAAAUUCCUUGUCGGGUAAGUUCCGACCCGCACGAAAGGCGUAAUGAUUUGUAUACUGUCUCGGAGAGGGGCUCGGUGAAAUAGACUUGUCUGUGAAGAUGCGGACUACCUGCACCAGGACAGAAAGACCCUAUGAAGCUUUACUGUAGCUUGAAAUUGAAAUUGGACUUUAUUCGCGCAGUAUAGGUGGGAGGCGUUGAUUAUAAUCUUGUGGGAUUAUUGGAGCCAUCAGUGAGAUACCACUCUUGUAAUGUUAGAUUUCUAACUUUGAAUCAUUAUCUGGUCAAAGAACAGUUUCAGGCGGGCAGUUUGACUGGGGCGGUCGCCUCCUAAACGGUAACGGAGGCGUACAAAGGUUUCCUCUGAACGGUUAGAAAUCGUAUCUAGAGUGUAAAGGCAUAAGGAAGCUUGACUGUGAGACCUACAAGUCGAGCAGGGACGAAAGUCGGUCUUAGUGAUCUGACGGUACUGAGUGGAAAGGCCGUCACUCAACGGAUAAAAGUUACUCUAAGGAUAACAGGCUGAUCUCCCCCAAGAGUUCACAUCGACGGGGAGGUUUGGCACCUCGAUGUCGGCUCAUCGCAUCCUGGGGCGGUAGUACGUCCCAAGGGUUGGGCUGUUCGCCCAUGAAAGCGGUACGCGAGCUGGGUUCAGAACGUCGUGAGACAGUUCGGUCCAUAUCCGGUGUAGGCGUUAGAAUAUUGAGAGGAGCCUUCUUUAGUACGAGAGGACCGAGAAGGACAUACCUCUGGUGUACCAGUUAUCGUGCCAACGGUAAACGCUGGGUAGCUAUGUAUGGAGUGGAUAACCGCUGAAAGCAUCUAAGUGGGAAGCCCACCUCGAGAAAAGUAUUCUCAU